rnacentral:rRNA from 1 species
AUUGAACGCUGGCGGCAUGCCUUACACAUGCAAGUCGAACGGCAGCACGGGUGCUUGCCCCUGGUGGCGAGUGGCGAACGGGUGAGUAAUACAUCGGAACAUGUCCUGUAGUGGGGGAUAGCCCGGCGAAAGCCGGAUUAAUACCGCAUACGAUCCACGGAUGAAAGCGGGGGGCCUUCGGGCCUCGCGCUAUAGGGUUGGCCGAUGGCUGAUUAGCUAGUUGGUGGGGUAAAGGCCUACCAAGGCGACGAUCAGUAGCUGGUCUGAGAGGACGACCAGCCACACUGGGACUGAGACACGGCCCAGACUCCUACGGGAGGCAGCAGUGGGGAAUUUUGGACAAUGGGCGAAAGCCUGAUCCAGCAAUGCCGCGUGUGUGAAGAAGGCCUUCGGGUUGUAAAGCACUUUUGUCCGGAAAGAAAUCCUUGACUCUAAUACAGUCGGGGGAUGACGGUACCAGAAGAAUAAGCACCGGCUAACUACGUG